UACGAAGGGGGCGAGCGUUAUUCGGAAUCACUGGGCGUAAAGCGUGCGUAGGCGGUUUCACAAGUUAGGAGUGAAAGCCCAGGGCUCAACCCUGGAAUUGCUCUUAAAACUGUGAGACUUGAAUCUCGGAGAGGAUAGCGGAAUUUCCAGUGUAGUAGUGAAAUACGUAGAUAUUGGAAGGAACACCAGUGGCGUAAGCGGCUAUCUGGACGAGCAUUGACGCUGAGGCACGAAAGCGUGGGGAUCAAACAGG
rnacentral:rRNA from 1 species